UUAGCUGAGAGGUGGUGCAUGGCCGUCGUCAGUUCGUACUGUGAAGCAUCCUGUUAAGUCAGGCAACGAGCGAGACCCACGCCCACAGUUGCCAGCGUACUCUCCGGAGUGACGGGUACACUGUGGGGACCGCCGCUGCUAAAGCGGAGGAAGGAAUGGGCAACGGUAGGUCAGUAUGCCCCGAAUAUCCCGGGCUACACGCGAGCUACAAUGGUUGGUACAAUGGGUAUCUACCCCGAAAGGGGACGGGAAUCUCCUAAAACCAAUCUUAGUUCGGAUUGAGGGCUGCAACUCGCCCUCAUGAAGCUGGAAUCCGUAGUAAUCGCGUUUCAACAGAACGCGGUGAAUACGUCCCUGCUCCUU
rnacentral:rRNA from 1 species